rnacentral:rRNA from 1 species
UACGGAGGGAGCUAGCGUUGUUCGGAAUUACUGGGCGUAAAGCGCACGUAGGCGGCUUUGUAAGUUAGAGGUGAAAGCCUGGAGCUCAACUCCAGAACUGCCUUUAAGACUGCAUCGCUUGAAUCCAGGAGAGGUGAGUGGAAUUCCGAGUGUAGAGGUGAAAUUCGUAGAUAUUCGGAAGAACACCAGUGGCGAAGGCGACUCACUGGACAUGUAUUGACGCUGAGGUGCGAAAGCGUGGGGAGCAAACAGG